rnacentral:rRNA from 1 species
UACGAAGGGUGCAAGCGUUACUCGGAAUCACUGGGCGUAAAGGCGUGCGUAGGCGGUUUCUUAAGUCUGUCGUGAAAGCCCUGGGCUCAACCUGGGGAACGGCGAUGGAUACUGGGAAGCUAGAAUGUGAGAGAGGAUGGUGGAAUUCCCGGUGUAGCGGUGAAAUGCGUAGAGAUCGGGAGGAACACCAGUGGCGAAGGGCGGCCAUCUCGGCUCAACAUUGACGCUGAGGCACGAAAGCGUGGGGAGCAAACAGG